AUGUUUGAAGACCUACGCACAGCAGUAGAACAAGCUCAGAGUGAAACUGAAAAUCAAGAUGCUAACAAUGGUGGAAACCCUUCUGAGAAUGAGUCUUUUUUGAAGGAUGUGAUGAAGGAGGCAAAAUGGCAGCUUUAUCAUGGUUGUACCAAGUUUUCAAGGUUCUCCUUUGUGGUAAAGCUUCUUCACUUGAAGUCAUACCAUAGGAUCCCGAAUAGUGCAUUUAUUGAAAUUUUGAAGCUAUUAGCUGAAGCAUUCCCUGAACCCAAUACGCUCCCAAAAUCGUAUAAGGAAGCAAAGAACCUUCUAAAGGAAUUAGGCCUUGGGUAUGAGUCUAUACAUGUGUGCUUCAAUAAUUGCAUUCUGUUCAGAAAGCAAUAUGUCAAUCAUGACAAUUGCCCAGUUUGUGGCCUAUCAAGGUGGAAAGACCCUGCUAAAAAGAAGAUUCCACAGAAAGUGUUGAGGCAUUUUCCAUUGGUGCCUAGGCUAAAGAGGAUGUUUCUUUCCAAAAAAGGCGCAGAAGAAGCACAAUGGCAUGAGCUAAAGAGGCAGCCCAAUGAGAAGGAACUGAGUCAUCCAAAAGAUGGUGAUGCGUGGAAGGAUUUCGAUGAAAAAUUUCCAGAAUUUGCAAAAGAUGCCAGAAACUUUAGGCUUGGCAUUGCCACUGAUGGGUUCAGUCCUUUUGGAAAUUUUAACACAACCUAUAGUAUGUGGCCUGUAUUUGUUAUACCAUACAACCUUCCACCUUGGGCAUGCAUGGAUCAGUCAAAUUUUAUGAUGGCUCUACUGAUUCCAGGUCCCAAAUCACCUGGCAAGCACUUCGAUGUCUUUCUACAACCACUUGUGGAAGAAUUACUUGAGCUCUGGGAGGGUGUACGUACAUAUGAUGCUCUUACUGGAAAAAUGUUUGAUCUUCAUGCUGCAGCUCUAUGGUGCAUUCACGAUUACCCAGCUCUGAGCACUCUUUCAGGGCAUACCACAAGAGGCUAUUUUGCAUGUAUUCAUUGUGACAAACACCCACUUUCUUACAGCCUAAGGAGUAAAAUUGGGUAUAUUGGUCACCAUCGUUUCCGUCCAAGGGGUCAUCGUUUGCGGAGAAACAAUGAAUUUGUUGGUCUUCAUGAAAGCAAUGAUGAGCCAGGUAAAUUCUCUGAGAAAGAGUUGCAAGCAGAAUUGGAGAAGGUUAGACCUGGGAGAUAA
rnacentral:rRNA from 1 species